ACACGGAGGGUGCAAGCGUUGUUCGGAAUUACUGGGCGUAAAGCGCGCGUAGGCGGCUUAUUAAGUCAGAUGUGAAAUCCCCGGGCUCGACCUGGGAACUGCAUCUGAUACUGGUAAGCUAGAGUUUUGGAGAGGGAAGUAGAAUUUCAGGUGUAGCGGUGAAAUGCAUAGAGAUCUGAAGGAAUACAGUGGCGAAGGCGACUUCCUGGCCAAAAACUGACGCUGAGGUGCGAAAGCGUGGGUAGCAAACGGGAUUAGAAACCCUAGUAGUCC
rnacentral:rRNA from 1 species